AGUGAAUAGAUACCCGGGUAGUCCACGCCGUAAACGAUGAACACUAGGUGCUGUGGGUAUCGACCCCUGCGGUGCCGUAGCUAAACGCGUUAAGUGUUCCGCCUGGGGAGUACGGCCGCAAGGCUAAAACUCAAAGGAAUUGACGGGGGCCCGGCACAGGCGGUGGAGCAUGUGGUUUAAUUCGAAGCAACGCGAAGAACCUUACCUGGGCUUGAAGUCCCUCGACGGCCGUAGAAAUACGGUUUCCCCUUCGGGGGCGAGGUGAUAGGUGCUGCAUGGCUGUCGUCAGCUCGUGUCGUGAGAUGUUGGGUUAAGUCCCGCAACGAGCGCAACCCUUGUCUUUAGUUGCCAGCGGUUCGGCCGGGGUCACUCUAGAGAGACUGCCGGUGUCAAGCCGGAGGAAGGUGGGGAUGACGUCAAGUCCUCAUGGCCCUUAUGUCCAGGGCUACACACGUGCUACAAUGG
rnacentral:rRNA from 1 species